ensembl:lncRNA
AUGAUUUUUACCUGGUGGACGUCCCUACCGAGGGCCACUAAGCAGAAGCCUUGUGCCGUGGUGCUGGGUUGGUGCCAGCAUGUGUGCUGCUGCAUGGGCUUGGUGCGAGAGGGAAACAGGACUCAGAAAGGCUUCCUGAGGGUUUUGAAGUCCUGGUUGGGAGUGGACACUGCUGUCUCCAAGGUUCUCGGUGAACUUAAAUGCUUCCACAAGUACAGCUGCUGUCAGUCAGGAGAGCUGGAUAAAGAGCAAAAGGAGAAAAGGGAAGAGCAAAUGGAUGUUUAUGGCUGCUUAGGAUAUGCUUAUGCACUAAAAGACGUUUCAGUCCUCCUUGUGUUGAUUCGGUCUUCUUUAUGA